rnacentral:lncRNA from 1 species
AUGAGCACGACAUGGAGCUGGGGCACUUCCUGUACGAUCACAGUGAGAAGAAGCUGCAGUGUGUGGACUGCACCAAGGAACACAUCAACAGCAUCGAGGUCUCCUCACAGACGGUGCGUAGUGGGGCUCCUCUGCAGUCUAAAAUCAGCAUAAGACACGUGAACAUCACCACAGAUGUGGGGAGGAGUGGCCAGCUGUGGCUAUCCCUUCUAUGAGGGGCAAGGGAUGGUGGAAUGGUUUUGCUGCUCUAGCAAAGCUGUUGGGAGUUAGGCAUUGGGAGCAAAACCCCAUUGUGUCUCUGGGGCACUAGGGGUCCACAGCAAUGCCCAGCUUGCUAUGUCAAGGAGCCAACAUCCACCCACAGCCUAACAAACCAACAGACUGGCCUGUUCCUGAUCUCCUUUGGACCCACAAAACCCAUCUCAGAGGAUGCCAUGGUGUGUCCAAUGAUGCUCAUCUCCCUCCCUCUGCUUGCUGCACCUUUGCAGGAGGAUUGUGUUGCAGCCCAUUUGACAGACAACCUGACAUACACCUUCUGGGAGAGCAGCGGGCUCCCGGGGCAGCACUGGGUGCGGCUCAACAUGAAGAAAGGCGUCAUUGUCAAGAGGCUCUGGCUGACACUGGAUGGGCAGUCCAGCUCCUAUGUACCCAGGAGAGUGGCUGUGUAUGGGGGAACACCAAGCAGGCUGCAGCACCUGAGAACAGUCCUAAUUAACGAGUGAGUAAUGAGUGAGGAGCAGCCUAUGUCCAGCUUAUGCCAAACUCCUGAGCUGUCUCUGCAUCCUGAGCAAAUGUUAAGGAUGGGGCUGGGGUUGGUUCUGAGUGACUUGCCAGUGACAGUGGCUCUCCAAUGGUCAGAACUCCGUGAGUGCAGGCUAUAUCUGCUCCCACAAGUGUGGUGGUCCCUUGCUUCCAUGUGACAGUCAGGUCCCUUAAUCUCCUCUCCUGCUCCUCACCCAUGCUGCAGCAGCUGUUUUGCAGCGUGCUUCCUUCUGCUUGGUGACUUUGGUCUUUCUGCCUCUUCCUCCUCACUUCUGGAAACACAUGCCACUGCUGUCACCUUCCUGAGCAUCUCUGCUAUGCUGUAGCCAAGAGUGCUUCACCUCUCCAUCUUCACUCUGGCCCUGAGCACCCUUCUCAAGGCAGCCAGGGGCUUACACAGGAGUGCAAAGGUCUCCUUCGCCUUCCCCCAUACUUAUUUGAUGUUUUUUGGCUGAGAAGU